AUGGACACCCAGCCAUUGCCUGCACCUGUUCCGGUUCCCCGGGUGAGGUCAGCUGUGACCCUGCCGACUCCUGCACCCGUCUCAGUUCCUCGGGUGGGAGCAGCAGAGGUCCAGCUAGCUCCUGCACCUACGCCGGCCCCCAGGGUUAAGGCUGCAAGAGCCCAGUUCGUCCCUGCACCCGUAUCUGUUCCUCGGGUGGGGAUGGCUGGUGUUCGGCCAGGCCCUGCACCCGUUCCUGUUCCCCGGAGGAGAGCAGCCAAGACUCAGACACCUGCUCAGUCACAAGUUCAACUACCUGCUGUUUCACCAUCACUACAACUUGCACUUUUGUCCAUAGCGCAGUUAUUAGCUCAGCAACCUGCUCACUCACUGCCGUCCUCUGCUGAAAGCUCUUGUGUGCUCACUCAGCCAGUUAAGGACUGCGUGGUGCUGACAAAGCUUGGACAGACUGUUUGCACUGCACAGCCCCAGCCGUUGCAUCCUAAGCCGACUGCGUGCCCUGUGCAGCUACAGUUAGCGUCCCCUCAGGCAGAGGUCUCCGCACCUGCUGGCUCUGCAUCUCUUCUCGCUGGCGGUUCAGGAGAACCGCUCCAGCCAUCCCUGGUCUCCGCUAGGGGUUCAGGAGGACCCCUCAGCACCUCCUCGUCUCCGCUGGGGGUUCAGGAGAACCUCUCCAGCCGUCCCUCGUCUCCGCUGGCGGCUCUGGUCAGCCCGGCCAGCACCUCCUCGUCUCCGCUGGGGGUUCAGGAGAACCUCUCCAGCCGCUCCUCGUCUCCGCUGGAGGGUCCAAUUCACCGUCGCCUGGUCCAGCCUCUGCUUCAGCUUCACCGUCGCCUGGUCCAGCUUCUGCUCCGCCUACGCCGUCGCCUGGUCCGGCUCCAUCGUCUGCUUCUGCUCCGCCUACGCCGUCGCCUGGUCCAGCUCCAUCGUCGCCUGUGGCUGCCACGCCACCGUCUGGUCCAGCCUCUGCUUCAGCUCCGUCGUCGCCUGUGGCUGCCACGCCACCGUCCGGUCCUACCUCGUCUGGUCCUGUGCCCACCAAGCCUCGACCAGUACGCCCGACGCUUGAGAGCCACCGCCGCCUUCCACGCGGACGGCCUCCGGACCCGCUCUGCUGCCGCCGCCGCCUUCCACGCGGUCGGCCUCCGGACCCGCUCUGCUGCUGCCGCCGCCGCCUUCCACGCGGCCGCUCUCCGGACCCGCUCUGUAGCCGCCGCCGUCUUCCACGUGGCUGGCCCCCAGACCGCCUUCGCCUGAGUCGCCGCCGUUGCCGUCCGCACGGUCGGCCACCCGAACUGCUUUCUCCUUGGCUCCUGUACUGUUGGGACCGGGGUCAGCCCCCUGAACAAUUUUGGCCCGCCUGUUUUGUUUUGAAUGGUUCCCAGGGCCCCUGUGCUUUUCAUGGACAUUUUGUGUUGGACUCUUUUCUGAGUUCCGCGGAUGGACAUUUUGGUUUUGUUCCGGGCCCUCCGUCCUGGGCCCCCACCGCCCGCCCUGGUUGGGUUUGUGUUUUUUGUUUUUCCUGUUGGGCUGUCUGGAGCCAGCCCUUAAGGGGGGGGUACUGUCAUGGUCCUGGGUCAGUGACCCAGUGUUUUGAGUUUCUUGUGUCUCUGAGUUUUGUAUUGUGGUCUUUGUUCCCUUUGUUCCCCCAGUUUAUUCUUUAGUCUAGUGUCUUAGUUUGGCCUUCUUGUAUUCUCUUUAGUUCUGAGUAUUUAAUAGCUGCCCUCUGUGUCUCUUUGUUGUUGUUCUGUGUUUCUUAGUUGCUCCGUCUCCCCUAGUCUAGUUUGCGUCUGUGCUACUUCCUGUUUUACUUUGAAGGUCCAUGUCUCUUGUGAGUGUAUUCUACUUUGCUCCCUCGUCUCGUCAGUUCUGAUUUCUCCCAGCUGUGCUCCCCUUCUGUGUCUCAUUCCCCUCGUUACGUCCCAGUGUAUUUUAGCCCUGCGUUUCCCUGUGUCAUUGUUGCGUUCUCCCUCAUUCAUGGCCGUGUGUUUCUCCGUGUACCUGUAUAUUGUUUCCCAGUUUAGUUUCAUGUCAGUUUGCUUCGCCGUUUUCCUGUCCAGCAAUAAAGCUGUGUUUUGAGUUUAUUCCUGCCUCCGCGAGCUUGCGUUUGGGUCCACUUCCUGCCUGCCACACAGCCGAAUCAUGACAUAUAGUGUAUGUCAGUAAACUGAGAUCUGAAACUAUCUAUACAAGUCUCUAAUCUUCAAAGAGGCAAAUAGUGGUUUGUACAGAAAAUAGCAACACUUUUCCAUAUGGUGUAUGAUAUCAAAAAGUAAAACACUGGUAUAAUUUCAGGCCUCUGGGUUUAUUUGAAUUUUUUCUUUGCUAUAACCUGCAUUGGUGGUGGUAAAUGAGUUCCUUUGUGGAUGAGGAUGAUCCAAGAAUUUACCACAUAAUGGCUCUUGGUUGGUUCACAAUAUAUCAAUGUGUGCUCGACAUACACUUAUCCAAUUUAAGAUAGUUCAUCGGGGGCAUUGGUCCAGGGAUAGGCUGGCACACAUAUACCCAGGGGUGGACCCAGCCUGUAUAAGGUGUGGGGGUGCUCCUGGUACAUUGUUUCAUAUGUACUGGUCCUGUCCUUCAUUGUCCACCUUUUGGAAAUCUGUUUUCCAUACGAUGUCUGAUGUCCUGCAGCAUCAAAUUGAACCAGAGCCACUCUGUGCUAUGUUUGGUGCGGUCCAGAAUUUGAAUCUGUCCAACUCCAGGCUCAGAACAUUAAACUUUUCAUUACUGCUGGACAGGCGAGCUAUAUUGCUGAAUUGGAAAGACUCUUCUCCCCCCUCACACACAAUGUCUAAAGGAUAUAAUGUCCUGUAUGGAUUUAGAAAAAAUUAGAUAUACAGUUCGUGGGUCUAAAAAUAAAUUUUAUAAACUGUGGUCCCCCUUUCUGGACUUCUUUGAAAGGCCCACAACUACUGUUACCAAGGAGUCCAAGGAACCCCCCCCCUCCUUUAUAUAUUUUUUUUUUCUCUUUCUUUCUUUUAUGAGUCUGUUUGUUGUUGGGGGGUUUUUUGUUUUGGUUUUUUUUUGGGGGGGGGUUCUCUGUGUUUUUUGGUUUAGUUGGGCAGCAGGCUGCCAAUUAUUUGUUGUUUUAAGGGUCAGGGUGGGAACAAGAUUGAGAUUUUGAAAAAUUCUGAAGCACUUUGUGUUAUUGUAUACAUUGCAUUGAAACCUUUGUUUAAUAAAAAGACUUUUGAAAGACAAGUUAUGACACAUAAACCUGAUGUCCUUUAUUAGAAUUUUAUUUUUAUUAUCCAAGUUUUUUUUUUUUUUUUUUUUUUGGUGAUGAACUACAUCGCACUUUAUAUACACAAGGCAUAAGACCACAUUACCUGGAAUGGUAACCAAAUAAAAACUCCUGAUAAAAAAUAAGGUAUGAACCUGAGUGCACAAAAGCCAGGAUACACUCAACAAUAAAAUCUUGCUACAUUAGAAGUUGGCUGAUCA
ensembl:lncRNA